AGAGUUUGAUCAUGGCUCAGAUUGAACGCUGGCGGUAUGCUUAACACAUGCAAGUCGAACGGUAACAGUCCCUCACCUAGAAAUUUCUUAAAAAGAGAUUUGUAGGUGAGGGAGCUGACGAGUGGCGGACGGGUGCGUAAUGUAUAGGAAUCUGCCCGGUAGUGGGGGACAACUCGGAGAAAUUCGAGCUAAUACCGCAUAAGCCCUACGGGGGAAAACGGGGGAUCUUCGGACCUCGUGCUAUUAGAUGAGCCUAUAUUAGAUUAGCUUGUUGGUGAGGUAAUGGCUUACCAAGGCGACGAUCUAUAGCUGGUCUGAGAGGAUGAUCAGCCACACUGGGACUGAGACACGGCCCAGACUCCUACGGGAGGCAGCAGUGGGGAAUAUUGGACAAUGGGCGAAAGCCUGAUCCAGCAAUACCGCGUGUGUGAAGAAGGCCUGAGGGUUGUAAAGCACUUUCAAUUGGGAGGAAUACCUAAUAGUUAAUAGCUAUUAGAUUGACA
rnacentral:rRNA from 1 species